CCCAGUGUGGUGUAGUGGUUUGAGUAUUGGACUGCAGCUCUGGAGAACAGGGUUCAAUUCCCAGCUCAGUAA